rnacentral:rRNA from 1 species
CAGCCGCCGCGGGAAUACCAGCAGCCCAAGUGGUGGUCGCGUUUAUUGGGCCUAAAGCGCUCGUAGCCUGGCCGGUAAGUUCCCCGUGAAAUCGGGUCGCCCAACGAUUCGGCUUGCGGGGAAUACUGUCGGUCUUGGGGCCGGGAGACGCCGAGGGUACUCCGGGGGUAGCGGUGAAAUGCUGUAAUCCUCGGGGGACUACCAGUGGCGAAGGCGCUCGGCGAUAACGGGCCUGACGGUGAGGGGCGAAAGCUGGGGGCGCGAACGGGAUUAGAUACCCCAGUAGUCCCUGUCUCUUAUU